AUUCAUAUAGCGCCGCUGCUCCCUUAAAAUGCACCUUUUGAAGGAAGACAGUGUCUCAUAACUUUGCGUUGUUGACAAUUUAUGUUAACUUUUAUUUUGAAGGGCGAGAACAAAGCUUGAAAGACGGGAAGUAAUCGGUGGUUGCUUUCCCCUGUCACUGUUGCUAGUUAGCAGUAAACGUUAAAACCACCAGCAGUACUAAGGAUUAACCAACACUGCUUCUAAAGUAAUUCCGCAUCUUCGCCCGAAAGGUGGAAUCGAACCACUCUGCCGCUAGGCAGCUACAGGUUUGAAGCCUGCACCCCGGACCACCGAGGGUCAUCCGGGCAUUUGAACAAGUUGCCAGCCAGCAGGAUAUAGCACAAAUAUCUACUACUAUUUCGUGGUGACGGUUUCGUGGUAUUGUCAUCGGGCUGAGGUGGGAGAGGGCAGCACAUGUGGGCGUCGCAGAUCUUAUCACAAGCCAAUCUGCAGGCUGGCCCCGGACCUGGGCAAGUUGGAUCCUUGGGGAGGGCAGAAGAGGGAGCAAACUCAGGUUGCACUGUGCAGCAGCUCACCCCGACACCCUGCAGGACCUUGGUGACCCCUGACAUGAGAUCAGCACACCUGAAUAUGUCAGUGAAAAAGCACCUGUGUACAGGAAAGUCAGCGUGACAGAGCACGUGGACUGAGGCCACCAAACACGAAUCGGAUAACUCCCAGAUGUGAAGCUCAUGCAACUCCUCCACCCCCGGCACGAUCCCGAUCCGCUUCCUCACGUCCGAUAGACUCACGUGCGGAGGCGCGGCCUGCAUCAGCAGCCGCCCGUACCUGUGCAUCUGAGGAGGGCUACACAUAAAUGCCACACACGCAGUAACUUGAUCUUUACGUGAAAAAAACCCCCCACAGUCUUGACACAAUUAAUUAAAUAGAACUUUAAAAAAUGAACAGUUCAUGUCACGUUACAAUAAUUGAAUGGCCACUGUGUUGCUCUUUCUGGUGUGCUAACCUUGGCCACCUGGGGGCAGUAUAAUACAGACUGUUCAUUGCUAUGUCUCAAUUCUCAGCUAAUCAGACAGCCCUCAUAUUAAGAAUUAUAUAUGACUGAGUUCUGUCCCAUUCUAUCCUUCAAAGCAUUUUUAAAAUCCGGUUUUCCAAAUCUUUGUUCGUGCACUUGUUUUUUGUGGUUGGAUUUUUAGUAUUGUUCAUGUUCAUACCUGCGGCACAGCACCGCCCACCAGGAUGAUGGCAGCCAAAACGGCCAGGCCGGGAUCCAGGUACACCAAGAGGCUGCAGGCCCCCGGAGAAUGCCGGAAGUCAGGGCCUGCCAGCAGCAUCACUAAACUAUUAACCAGGACUAGCACUGAUGUGGACAGACCCUGCACUACCAUCACCACAGAAGCAGGACACAGAGUCAGCCGCUGCCUAACGUCCCGAGUGACUUCUUUGCCCAACUUUGGCUCCUCUGUCGUCUUCUCAGCAGCCACGCCUCCUCCCGCCGAGGUCACUGGGUUGCACGGGACAAGACCCCGGUUGUGAAGCGAGCGUGCAGUGGUCCCGCUCUGAUCUCCACUGGCUUCACACGGGCCUCGCUCGGAGCCCUCCUGAGACAUGGCUCCUGAGCCCCGGCCCCCCGCCGCCUCCAGGUCAUCACCAGCACCACAACGUUGUGCAGCAAACCGACCACGCCGGCCGCCGCCAGCAGCCAGGGCUGCUCCACAGGGUGCAUCCCCACAGAUUGGUGGCUGACAAUUUCCAACAAGCAGGACACGCACAAGGAAACGAGGAGCAGGGCGGAGACAAAGACCCCCACCGGCCGCCUCCUGCCGUCAGGGUAGGACGCGGCGUACGGCGGAACCCCGGCGAGGUCGGUCGUCUCUGAGGACAGCCUUGAAGCAGAAGGACUCGCUGCAUUUUGAGGCUGAGGAAGAGCCAUGUGACCGAGGACAAAGAGCGUGUGGAAGCCAUCCACCAGCAAGAUGAAGGACCUGCACAGCUGACCGGUGAUCAGUUUCAGAACCAGCACCAGGAUGGUGAUGACCAGCAGGCAGUAUUGUGAGAGCUUCUUCAUGUCUGCACUCAAACGCAUCGUCAAUACAAUUAAAUAAAUACAAUCAGAAUGAAUGUAGAAGAAUUAAAGGGUUUAUGCAUCAUGAUUUAAUGCUGCAAUCCAAUUCAAUGUGCUGCUCCUCUUUGUGUCCAUAAUAAUGUAUUCGAUUUACAUGACACUUUUCUGCUUGUUUAAAAAAAACAUACAUUCAGCAUCAUGGGUUAUGUACAUGAUGUAGUUUCAGUCAUUCUUGACGAAUGGAAAUACAUUCAUCAGUACUAUCUUCAAAAUGGAAACAUCAUAAUUACCUGUGAGGAAGCGGGUCUAAGCAGCCAAAAGAGAAGAGAUGGUGGAAGGACCCGCGUGUACACCAAUCCAAAAGGAAUGACGCGGCAGCUUUCCUUUCCGUCCAGUGGGCUGCGAAUCAACAGGUCGAAUGGAGUUUGACACCGUGGAUAAAUCCCCACUGCCUGCCAGCACAUUCCUGAAGUACAACUAAGCCCACCCGGAGACCCGGCGAGGACACUUUUGAACACUCCCACAACCCCCUGGAGGGAAGCACGGGACGAGCAGCAAGGAUGGCCGAUCUGCACCCCCCUUUUCCCACAUCAAUUGUGGUAUAUACAUGAACUCUCAGUAAUUAUUACAACGUUCAAAGUAUCAGUCAAGAAUUUACACAGGAUUAAAUUUACCAUGGGCUACAGUCAUGAUCAAAUGGAGAAAAAAAUAUAUAUACUACCCACUCCCAAGAAGUGGACAUCCCUGCAAAAUUGAUGACAUGACAAGAGGCCAAGAACAACAAUGAAGGAGCUGCAGGAAUUUCUGGCAAGUGCUGGCCGUUUAGUAAAUGUGAAUAAAUGUACGAGUUGAGCUGUACAAGUUAACGCUCACGAUAACAGAAAAUGCUUUAUUUUGGUCACAAGAACAUGACAGGGGUGUGUAGACUUUUUAUAUCCAGUUUUUAGCAUGGGCAUUCUCAUGAAAAAACGUAUAGCGCAUGUAUAUUGAUCAUAAUUGUUGGAUUAAUUUAGAUA